AAAUAUUCAACUAUUAUCCUCACACCCACAAGAAGGUUCAAGAUAAACACAUAUUACACCACAAUGAAAAUAUUUUUAUAAACAUGCACAUACAUUGAACGCAAGUUAACAAACAAAUUAACCUAGAGAAAGCAUAGUUUUGACCAUCUUAACAAUCAUCUAGAACACACAAGUCACAAAAAGAUAAGGACUAUUGGUUACUAUGAGAGACUUCAGAUGGUCCAGAACACACAAGUUCGUAUCUACAUGCACAAAGUGCAAGCUCCAAAACACUCGAAACACCAAAUGGUCUACAAGACAAUAAGGUCCAUGAUUACAGGUUGGUUGGUCCAUAAACGCUAGAGAGUCAUCAUGUCCAUGUGCAUUAAUAGGUUGAGUACCUGAAAACAUUUUGCACAAAUUUGUCAAGAAAGUGGAACCAGAUCAAGUUGUUAAAAUCUCAUAUGCGUAUUAAAAAUAUUCGAUCAAAAGAUUAUCAUGAUAUCAUAGUUAACAAUAUAGUUUCUAUAAAAGUUACCCACUUGUUAUAGCAGAAGUUUUGUCACUUUAUAUUAAACAAUCUUAAAAGUG
rnacentral:lncRNA from 1 species